AGAGUUUGAUCCUGGCUCAGGAUGAACGCUGGCGGCGUGCUUAACACAUGCAAGUCGAACGAUCCUUCGGGAUAGUGGCGGACGGGUGAGUAACGCGUGGGAAUCUGCCCUCAGGAGGGGGAUAACGGCUGGAAACGGCCGCUAAUACCCCAUAUGCCGAGAGGUGAAACGAAAUUCGCCUGAGGAUGAGCCCGCGUCUGAUUAGCUAGUUGGUGGGGUAAAGGCCCACCAAGGCGACGAUCAGUAGCUGGUCUGAGAGGAUGAUCAGCCACACUGGGACUGAGACACGGCCCAGACUCCUACGGGAGGCAGCAGUGGGGAAUUUUCCGCAAUGGGCGAAAGCCUGACGGAGCAACGCCGCGUGAGGGAUGAAGGCCUCUGGGCUGUAAACCUCUUUUCUCAAGGAAGAAGACCUGACGGUACUUGAGGAAUAAGCCACGGCUAAUUCCGUGCCAGCAGCCGCGGUAAUACGGGAGUGGCAAGCGUUAUCCGGAAUUAUUGGGCGUAAAGCGUCCGCAGGCGGCCUUGUAAGUCUGUUGUUAAAGCGUGGAGCUUAACUCCAUUUAAGCAAUGGAAACUACAAGGCUGGAGUGUGGUAGGGGCAGAGGGAAUUCCCGGUGUAGCGGUGAAAUGCGUAGAUAUCGGGAAGAACACCAGUGGCGAAGGCGCUCUGCUGGGCCAUAACUGACGCUCAUGGACGAAAGCCAGGGGAGCGAAAGGGAUUAGAUACCCCUGUAGUCCUGGCCGUAAACGAUGAACACUAGGUGUCGGGGGAAUCGACCCCCUCGGUGUCGUAGCCAACGCGUUAAGUGUUCCGCCUGGGGAGUACGCACGCAAGUGUGAAACUCAAAGGAAUUGACGGGGGCCCGCACAAGCGGUGGAGUAUGUGGUUUAAUUCGAUGCAACGCGAAGAACCUUACCAGGGUUUGACAUCCUGCGAACCCCUGAGAAAUCGGGGGGUGCCUUCGGGAGCGCAGAGACAGGUGGUGCAUGGCUGUCGUCAGCUCGUGUCGUGAGAUGUUGGGUUAAGUCCCGCAACGAGCGCAACCCACGUCUUUAGUUGCCAGCAUUCAGUUGGGCACUCUAGAGAGACCGCCGGUGAUAAACCGGAGGAAGGUGUGGAUGACGUCAAGUCAUCAUGCCCCUUACAUCCUGGGCUACACACGUACUACAAUGCUACGGACAAAGGGCAGCAAGCUCGCGAGAGUUAGCAAAUCCCAUAAACCGUGGCUCAGUUCAGAUCGUAGGCUGCAACUCGCCUACGUGAAGGAGGAAUCGCUAGUAAUCGCAGGUCAGCAUACUGCGGUGAAUACGUUCCCGGGCCUUGUACACACCGCCCGUCACACCAUGGAAGUUGGCCAUGCCCGAAGUCGUUACUCCAACCCUUGUAC
rnacentral:rRNA from 1 species